rnacentral:lncRNA from 1 species
CUGAGGUUGCUUCUGACGGGCUUGUGAACAAUUCGGUAAAAACCCCUAGUGAAAACUAUGUAUGUAUAGUAUAACCGCCGCUUCAAAUCAAUUGAAUCAAUGCAAGCAAUGCUGUUCCCACAUGCCUAUUCAUUCAUAUUUGGUUGGAUUCCUCGGUUCAUCUUAUGCCAACGAUGGAAUAGCCUCUUUUUCUAGCUAUUACUUUCCUUCAUAUUCCCACAUGCCUAUUCAUUCAUAUUUGGCUGGAUUCCUCGGUUCAUCUUAUGCCAACGAUGGAAUAGCCUCCUUUUCUAGCUAUUACUUUCCUUCAUUCAGGUAUGGGGGCAGGGAAUACGAAGGUCGAGUAGGCUUCGUCGGUUUGAGAAGGUGAACGACGAAUCCGAGUGAUCGAAGGUUCAAGUACUGAGCGAAUAUUCAAACGUCUAUUCAUGU